GGCAGGUGUGAUCUCGUGCUUCCUGGGAGGUGUGAUCCCGUGCUUCCUGGGAGGUGUGAUCCCGUGCUUCCU
rnacentral:pre_miRNA from 1 species